AUAAAUAGAAAAGUAUCCUCAGGUGAUGAAGAAGGAAAAAAAAGUUGCUUAUCUUCUCUUAGCUGCAGCUCCCUCAUCCGGACGCGGCAAUGAGACUUACACUAUAAGCUCAAGCAGGGACACACGUUAAUCUUCGAAACCACAGCAUGCAGCGCAGAGCCUGGCCCUGCGGCCCUUCGGGAACGUCACUGGGUUGAAUUAUUGGAAGGGCCAGUGUCCGUCACAAAUCAUACCAGUUGUUCUGACAGAGAUCGUCUCAAACUGGAAUUGGUCCAACAGACUGUGGAGCGCGGAAAGGCGAGUUGAAGAGUUGUGGCCCAUCUAUCACAUUGCAGCAGAGGUGGCUCGCGAGAGGAGGGGAAUUCUGCUCCCUGAAAGGUCACGGGAUAAAAUAAAAGCCAACAUUUACAGGAC